UGUAAAUAUUAACAACCACGUUUUACAAUAGUUUUAUGAUAAUUUAAGUAUUUUUUUUUAAACCUUUAGGUGGCAUUGGUGCAAUAAGGAAUAUUUAUGAAAGCACGACAAAAAUUGUUCCUGGUGCUGUAACAUUUCAAAAUACAGAAGCAAUGAUCAAGAUGUCAACAAUAAGUCCAGUUGGCACAUUAGCUUAUAUUAUUGACGAGGAAGCGUUAUUAGUUCGCGUUAAUAAUGGAUGGCAGUAUAUUGCACUUGGAACGCUUUUAUCAACAUCGACUCGAGCUACUGUGACGCCAGCAUUGUCCAACCCACCAUUUGAAGCUUCAAAUCUUAUUAACCAAUUGCCAAUAAGAACGGAUGGUAGUGG